AAAAAUUUAGUUAAUUUAAUAACAUUAACUUGUCAAGUUAAAAUAAAUACUUAAGUAUUAAUUUUUA
rnacentral:tRNA from 1 species